UGCAUCACCGUUAUCUUUUGCUUGCAUCUCAUUUCCUCUGCUUCCUCUUCCUCAGCUACUCUGUUCUUUCAAUUUCUUGCUCUGUUUCCUUCUAAAGUCCUAGUUGCAUUUAAAAAAAAUAAAAUAAAAUCGUGGGGGGUUUUUUUCCCCCUACUAUCAUUCUCCAUUCCUUCUUCCCCGUUUUCUAUUCAACUUGUUUUCAUUUUCCAGUAUCAACAAUUUUUUUUAAAAAAAGUAUCUUUGUUCAAGGGUCUCUGUUCUUGUUACCUCUUAUUCUGUUUGUUGUUUUAAAAAUCUGUCCGAAAAAGCUGGAAAAAAAUAGUUGACAUUUCGUUUAGAGAUUUUUUUCUUGCAACUCUUCUUCUGUUUGUUGCUUCAAAAAUCUUUGAACCAAACAGAAGUAUUUUUUUUGCUCAUCCUUUAACUGUUUUGUUUUGCCUCGAUCUUUAGUUCAGAGAUUUCUGUUCUGGUUACUCUUCUAUUUGUUGCCCUGUAGAUCUUUACAAAAGCAGAAAAAGCUUUCCCAUCCUUAAUAUUUUUUUUUUUGUAAGUUGACGUAUUUGUUAGAGAUUUCUUUUCUCUUGCAACUCUACUCUUUGUUACUCUUCUUCUGUUUGUUGGUUUUCAAAAAUCUUCUCAAAAAAAAAAGCAGAAAAUAUUUCUCAUUUCUCAUCCUUCAAGUUUGUGCUUGAGUUGGUACUGUCUCAGUUUGUAGUCCAUCAGAGUCAAGAGUUAAGAAGUUUCGUUUGUGAAUCGGAAAUUUACUUGUCAAGCAAAGGAAAGACAAUUUCAACAAACACCUCUUGUUCACAGAAAUUGGGAAAUAUUGAAGAAGCCAUCAACAAAUCAGCAAAGAAAGUAACUUUCUCGCUGGAUAUCUACAGCUAAGGAAACAAGAAUGGAGAUUCUCAGUAACAUUGCUGCAACAAUAGCAGGGUAUACUGUGGGACCCAAUGUCCGGCAAGUGAGAUAUUUGUACUCCUACGAAGACAAUUUCAAGGAGCUAAAUGAUCAAGUUCUGGAGCUGAGGAUAGAAAAAGAGCUUGUCGAGCGUGAUGCUGAAACAGAAAGAAGGGCUGGAAAAGAGAUCGAAGAUGAUGUGAAGAAGUGGCUGAACGAAGGUGAUGAGGCCUUGAAAAGAGCUCAAGGAUUGUGUGAAGAUCCUCGGCGUGUGAAUGCAGGAUGCUCCAGAUGGCGCAUUCCUAAUGUAAAGUCCCGAUAUCGGCUUAGCCGAAAUGUAGAGAAAAUGGCAGAAAACAUUGUUAAGCUGCUUGGAGAAUGGAAGUUUGAUCAAAUUGGGUACCUCCCUCCUUUCCCAACCAGAGAAUUAAUUUCUGCUACAAGUGAUAGUGUCAAGCUUGAGUCAAGGAGCUCAAUGAAGGAGGACAUUUUGUGGUCUCUAAAAGACCCUAAAGUAAGCAGAAUGGGGGUCUAUGGAUUAAUUGGGGUGGGGAAAACCACUCUAGCUAGAGAAAUUGUUGCACAAGUUAAGGAUGACAAGUUAUUUGAUGAAGUGGUUAUGGUGACUGUAUCACAAAUUGUAGAUAUUGACAGAAUUCAAGAUCAGAUGGCAGAUCAGUUGGGCCUUCGCUUUGAAGAGAAGUCCACAAUUGGAAAAGCAGGCCGCUUAUAUGGGAGAAACAGACAGGAGAAAGCUAUCCUCAUCAUAUUGGACGACAUUUAUAAAGAACUUGAUUUGGCUAAAUUGGGAAUUCCGUUGCAAGAUAAUCACAAGUUGGAAAAUUCUACGGAGGAUAAUUAUCGGGGCUGCAAAUUGUUGCUCACUUCCAAGAAACCAAAAUAUUCUACAAAAAAAUGUUACACAAAAAGAUCAGACUCGAAGUUUUAAGUGAUGAAGAAUCUAGUAGAUUAUUUCAAAUGAUGAAUGAUGAUGCUGUCAAAGAUGUCGAGUGGCAAGAUAUUGCAACCCAAGUGGCCCAAAGUUGUGCUGGCUUGCCUGCUGUGAUAGUCACAAUGGCCAAGUCAUUAAAAAACAAGCCCAUUUAUCAUUGGAAAGAUGCUUUGAAAAACCUGAAAAGAGCUGCUCGUGCAGAAAUACCUGAGAUUGUUUCUGCAGCUUUGGAAUUUAGUUAUAAUCAAUUGGAAGAUGAUAAAGCCAAGCAAGUAUUCUUGCUUUAUGCUGUUCUAGGAACGUCCACAUGUGUUAGUGACUUGUUGAAAUAUACAUGGGUAUUAGGUAUAUUCAAACAUGUAGAUGCCAUUGAGGAUGCAAGAGACAAACUUUACAAACGAUUGAUGACUUGAAGUCAGCUUGUUUGUUGCUUGACAAUGAUGCAAGUACAAUAGUGAUCAAAACGCAUGAUAUCAUAUGUGAAAUAGCCACAUCAAUUGCUUACAGGGAUCUAUUUGUUUUCACAAUGAAAAGUUCAAUUGGGUUGCAAGAUUGGCCAAGCGAGGAUUUUCUUAAAUUGUGUACCCAGAUAAUCUUGGAUCCAUGUUGUAUCCAAAAACUUCUUGAGAAGUUACAUUGCCCUUGUUUGAAAACGUAUAAUCCUUGUUUGGAAAUUCCAAACUCCUUUUUCAAGGGAAUGAGAAACCUUGAAGUGUUGGAUUUGACUGGAAUGAUCAUACCAACGUUACCUACAUCUCUUGCCACAUUGACUGAACUUAAAACAUUGUGUUUGGAUUAGUGUUAUUUGAAAGAUAUGGCUGGAAUUGGAGCCUUGAAAAAUUUAGAAAUUCUUUGCUUCCUCCAUUCAUCUUCAGAAGAGUUUCCUAGUGAAAUUGGACAACUGGCUCAUCUAAGAAUGUUGGAUUUGAGUGGUUCUGGAAUUGAGGUCAUCCCGCCUGAUGUUGUAUCCAAGUUGACCAAACUUGAGGAAUUGUACAAGGGCACUGUCUCAAUAAUUAAAUGGGAGGCAGAAAGUUCAAUAAAGCAAAACAAAAAAGCUAGUGCCGUUGAGCUUUUGCAUUUGCAAAGCUUGAGUACUCUAGAAAUUCAAGCUGAGACUUGGAAUUUACUGAGGGACAUUAAGUUAGAGAAGUUAGAGAGAUAUAAUGUUGUUAUUGGAGACAAGUGAGAAUGGCCAUAUGACAAUAAGAUCUCAAGGUUUUUAAAGCUAAAGCUUGAUACUAGCAUUCAUUUAGAACAUGGGAUUGAGACAUUGAUAAAAAGCAUGGAAGAUUUAUACUUAGAGGAAGUACAUGCAAUUACGAAUGUCCUUGUCCAAUUGAAUGGUGAAGGAUUUCCACAGCUAAAGCAUCUAUACAUAAAAAAUAAUGGAGAGAUUCAGUGCAUUAUCAACUCAAUGGGGAGGAAUCAAACUCAUUUUUUGUUUCCAAAAUUGGAGACACUAAUACUUCAAAAUCUCCCGAAGUUGGAGGAGAUAUGUCAUGGUCCUCUGACCGUUCAUCAGUUUGGAAAAUUUAGAGUCAUCAAACUCAUAAGUUGUGGGCCGCUAAAAUUGAAGUCUCCGAAUGGCAUUAUGUGAAGAAUAUUGUGUCUGUGGAAAGUAUGAAUAGUAGCAUGGUCAUCAAUAAAGUUGAAUUUAUUCCAUUGCGAUGCUUGGCUUUGCAAUAUUUACCCGCAAUAGCCGGUUUUUGCUGCUCUGAUAGCCCAACAUUAUUCUUUGAUGCAAAGAUAUACUCAUUUUGUUGCAUUUUAAUAUUUCUCAUGCAUUUGUUAUAUGGAAAUUAGAGUAGUGGUUUUAAAACAAAGAUCAUAUAAUGGAAAAUUUAUCUGUUCAAAAUUUUAAAAUUUAGCUGUGUAGUUAUUAUCAAGAUGAGCUUAAUUGUUUGUAUAUAUGUAUAUAAAACACACACGCACAUCAUAUGUUUGUGUGUGUCUAGUUUUACAAAAAAUAUUAUCUGGUUAUGAUAUAUUACAAAUUUCAAUAGUUGAUUAAUUUAUAAAAUUGAGUGAACAGAGAUUUUGAUGACCACCCCAUUUUCAUCUAAAAGUAGAGACUGUUUCCUUUUAUGGGGUCUCCCAAUUUGGGAACUUAAUUUGUACUCAUUCAUAUAAUGUGUCAACAAGGUGAUUGUUUUGUGCAUAUAUUGGAUUAAGAUUUAGAAGCAAUAUAUAUAUAUAUAUACUCCCUCCGGUCCCAUUUAUAAGUUCAAUUUUAGAAGGAUGUAUUUGGUCCCAUUUAUAAGUCAGGUGCGUCUUUUUAGGUAAUAUUUGAGAGGUAUUUCCAAAAUUACCCUUCAUGAGAGAGAAAAAGUAACAGGACAUUACUUUUUAGAUUUGUUAUAUAGGGGCAUGUUUGGAAUUUUACUUACUUUUAUUCCUUGUACUUUUAUUGUAUUGGUAUUGAUGAGGUUGGUAGAAAUGACUUAUAAAUAGGACCGGAGGGAGUAUAUAUUUUGGUAGGUUUCAUUGCCAAAUUUGGAGGCUUUGAAAUUGAGCUCGAUUAAUUUGGACAAAAUUUGGGAUGAUUAUCAACAUUCAGUGGCCACUUCUUUUCGGAAUCUUGCUAAUUUGAUCGCGGACGGCUGUGGCAGCCUGCGGUAUUUGUUCUCAACAUUUGUGUUUGAAAAUUUGAAAAAUCUCAAGCGGCUGGAAAUAAGUAAAUGUCAUGCGAUGGAGGAGAUAAUAGCCACUGAAGGAAGUAACAAUGGGAUUAUGCUGGCUCAAGAUCAGGUACUAUGAUUUUGUUCUUAAGUUAUUUGGAAGUUGCUGACAUUUGUAUUUCAUCUCAUAAUAGUUUUAAUGAACAAAAAAAGUCUUAAACACGACACUAUCUUAUAAAAGUAGAGACUCUGUUUUAAGCACAUUCAUAAUAGUUUUAAUAAAUAAAAAUGUCUUAAGCACAUUCAUGUAAAUAUGUAACAUAUAUAUUAUUAAGGUUUAAUUUCUUUUUAAUUCGUUGAGGAUCAGUAUUAUGUUUAUCAUACAAUAUUCAUGAUUUGUUGGGCAUCAAAUAGGCUGGAUUUCCCAAUCUGGAGGAGAUCAUGAUAAAUGACGUGAAAAACUUGAAGACAGCAUAUCACUACCAAUUUGGCAGAUUGAAGACAUUGGAAGUCAACAAAUGUGAGAAAUUGGAGACUAUUUUUCCAUCAGGUUACAUGCAUGAAGCAUUAAGUCUUCAGUCUUGAGAUAUUGAGUGUUCGAGAUUGUGCUUUAGUGGAAGAGAUAUUCCAAUUCACUGCUGCUAAUCGAAUGCAUACACAAGAGGUGACAGCAGAGCUGCAAAAUCUAGAAAUAGAUGGACUGCCAGAGAUGAAACAGAUAUGGAGCAAUGAUCACCAAGGACUUGUUCGCUUUUCCAAUCUACAAUUUAUGCGCAUUGAGGACUGUAACAAGCUGGAAUAUAUCUUCCCCUUCUUCAAGGAUCUUCCACAACUUGAAUAUCUCAAGUUAGUUUUGUGUGGGAUAAAGGAAAUUGUUUCAAUGAAGGAUGGACCAGUGGAUGAAACUUCCAUAUUUGAGCUUAAUCAUCUCACCUCCCUUAUCCUAUACAAAUUGCAUGAACUCAAGGGAUUCUAUGCAGGGGUUCAUACAUUAGAAUGUCAAUCCUUGAAAAUAUUGUCUGUGGUAUUGUAGGAAACUAAAGGUAUUCAAUAAACAUGCAAAUAGAUGCCAGCAAUUCUGUUGAUGAUCGAUUUCAUUUCUCAAUGCGACAACCUCUGCUGACAGUUGAAGAGGUGAUUGGCAAAUUGGAUGAGUUGACCCUGCAAUCUUGGGAUGCUAAAGUCAUAUUGCAUCACCAAGUUCCACUGCACCUAGCCGCUUUUCAAGAUGAUGAAGCAAGUUCUCUGCACUAGUUUCUCAAGAAUGCACCCAGUCUCGAGAGUCUAACUGUUUCGUUCAGUUCCACGAAGGAGAUAUUUUAUGAUGAAUUGCUAACCGACGAGGAAGGAUGGAAAACUAUUAGCACUCGACUUGAAGCAUUGUGGCUAAAUUGUUUACCCAAACUUCAGAAUUUAUGUAGAGAUGGAAGACAAAUUCACCAUGUUCUGGAGGUUCUUGAAGUCUUAGGCGUGCGAGAAUGUUCAAGUUUAGGAAAUUUAUUUCCCUCCUCUGCAACUUUCUGCCACUUGACAUACCUGGAGGUGAUACAGUGCAACAGUUUGAAAAGCCUAAUGACCUCAUUAACAGCUGGAAGUCUUUUCAAAUUGCAAAGGAUGAAAAUAGAACAGCGUGAUUCCCUCGAAGAAAUUGUGACAGAAGAGGUGAAUGAGACAGAAAAUGACAUUGCGUUUAACAGUUUGUUUAGUUUAGAGCUGAUUUAUUUGCCAAGGCUCCAUAGCUUUUCAUCAAGCAAGUGCCCCUUCAAGUUCCCAUGGUUGGAUAGAGUUGUUGUUAGCCAAUGCCCCAGGAUGCAGAUUUUCUCCCAUAAAGCAAUAAGUGCAUCAAAGCUUAAAAAAGUACUAACAGAGGAAAAAGACGAGGGAAAAUUCUAUUGGGAAAGAGAAUUCAAUGGAACAAUUAGCAAGAUGUUUCUGAACAAGGUUGCAUUUCAAAGCUUUGAGCGUUUAGAGCUUUCGAAAUAUCCAAUGUUUAAAGUAGUGUGGUAUGGCCAGGUUGGGCAUCAAUUAUUUUGCAAUUUGAAAUCUUUGGUGGUGUGAAAUUGCCGUUGGCUUUCGAAUAUUCUUCUUUCUGGAAGUAUACUAGAAGCUCUUUCAACUUGGACGAGCUUGAAGUGUGAGUGCGAUACACUUGAAGCCGUGUUUGAUUUGGGUGAUAUAGAUGAAAGAAGAAUGAAUGCGAGAGGAACUUUUCAGUUGAAGAAAAUGAGACUGAGUAAUCUGCCAAAACUCAAGCACAUAUGGAAACACGAUUCCCAUGAACUUGCGAGCUUGGGUAAUUCAGGGGAUAUUCAUGCCAGUGAAUGCCAAGCAUCGAAUGGAUAAGAUAAGGUCUAUUUUAGAAGUUCGGAUCAUUUGAAGCUCAUUUCAUCGAGUUUGUUGACAUUGCUACGUUCAUUAGAGGAGCUACAAGUAAGUGAUUGUGAUUCGUUAGAAACAGUGUUUGAUGUGAAGGUCAUGGACGACAGAGAAAUGCAUGUAAAGGAAGAAAGUCAGUUGAAAAAGCUAACUCUAUUGGGACUACCGAAUCUGAAAUAUAUAUGGACUAAAAACCUUCCAAAAAUACUCGGUUUCAAAAAUUUGCAGAUCUUAACAAUCGAUGAAUGCCAAAACAUGAAACAUGUUUUCGGUAACGUUACGCCAAGAUCUGCAGCAGCUCCAAGUGCUUGACAUACGUUCCUGUGGCAUUGAGGAAAUUGUUGCAAUUGAAGGAGAAGGACUAGAGGAUCUUGAGUUUGAUUUUCCAAAUUUGACUAUCUUCAAGCUAUAUUAGAUGUCACAAUUGAAGAAUUUUUAUCCAAGAAGGCAUAAUUUAGCAUGUCCUUCAUUGGAGAUGUCUAUGAUUGUGAAAAAUUGGAAAUAUCUGACUUUAGCCAUUUGGAUUCCCAGCAUACAUCAAGGGUGGAUGAAAUUGACAUGCCAACUCAACAAACGUUCUUUUCUUUUGAAAAGGUGUCACCGACUUUAAAAGAGUUGGCAUUAAAUGAAAAAGAUUCUAUGAAGAUAUUGAAUAGUCAUUGUGAAGCAAGUCUCUUUCAUCGUGUGGAGGUGCUUAUUCUACAACGCUUUGAAGAAACUCCAAUAAUGUGGCUAAAUAGGUUCCUUGAGAAAUUCCCUAAUAUUACAACACUUGAACGGCGUUAUAGUACUUUCAAAGUACUUUUUCCUUCCAAGAAAAUUGGUUAUUGCUGUUUAAAAACGUUGUGGCUUUAUAAGCUGGAGCAACUUGAGCAAAUAUGGAAUGAUGACGACUCUCUGUAGUUGUCCUUGAGGAACUCAACGUGUGGGAUUGUCCAAGUCUAACAAGCUUGGAACCACCUUCAAUAUCUUUCACAAGUUUAACUUCCCUAGAAGUGAAGGAUUGCAAAAGGUUGACCUUUUUAAUGACAACUUCCACUGCUAAAAGUCUUGUGCACCUCAAAGAGUUACGCAUAAGAAAUUGUGGGAUGAUGGAGGAAGUUGUGAUGAUCGAUGUAGCAACACCAGAAGAGAUCACAUUUGAAAGCUUAGAAUAUAUGGAAAUGAUUUCUUUACCUUCUCUCAAAAGCUUCUGCUCUGGCGAACUCACUUUUGCAUUCCCAUCAUUUGAAUUAUUAAAAGUGAGAGGAUGCCCCAGAAUGCAGAAUUUCUCAUCAGCAGCCAUUAUAGGCCCAAGGAUACUAUUGAAUAUAAAUUUAACAAGGCAUUGGACAGAAGACCUUAAUGCUACUAUCAAACAGCUGGUCACGGAACAGAACACAUGUUUAGCUUGAAGGCAUGUAUGCAGAAUGGAGUUGAUGAUCUUCAUCUAUAUUGGAUCUGUUGGUAGUUGGUACAAGAUGGGAACGAGAACGAAAAAAACUUGGAACACAACGUCUCUCUUACAUCAGCACUUUUUCUAGUGCAUUCUCUUAAACAAACUGUGUUGAAGGGAUGGAAUCACACAAGGUUAUGUGACUAGAUCGGAUUCAAGCAUUAUUAGAUCCAAUUAAGAGUAACUUUUUUAAAGAUAUUUUCUACGUUCAAAUGAACUCUAUCUAAUAUGA